rnacentral:rRNA from 1 species
GAUGAACGCUAGCGGCAGGCCUAAUACAUGCAAGUCGAACGCUCAGUAGCAAUACUGGGAGUGGCGCACGGGUGCGUAACGCGUACACAAUCUACCUCUAAGCGGGGGACACCUCCUGGAAACGGGGAUUAAUACCGCAUAAUAUGCCGAGGUCGCAUGACUUUGGUAUUAAAGCAGCAAUGCACUUAGAGAUGAGUGUGCGUCCCAUUAGGUAGUUGGUGAGGUAACGGCUCACCAAGCCUAUGAUGGGUAGCCGGUCUGAGAGGAUGGUCGGCCACACGGGCACUGAGACACGGGCCCGACUCCUACGGGAGGCAGCAGUAAGGAAUAUUGGUCAAUGGUGGGAACACUGAACCAGCCAUGCCGCGUGGAGGAAUAAGGUCCUACGGAUUGUAAACUCCUUUUGACGAGGAAGAAAGUGUUAGAUUUAUCUAAUUUGUACGGUACUCGUAGAAUAAGCACCGGCUAACUCCGUGCCAGCAGCCGCGGU